rnacentral:rRNA from 1 species
AGUGAACGCUGGCGGUAGGCCUAACACAUGCAAGUCGAACGGCAGCACAGUAAGAGCUUGCUCUUACGGGUGGCGAGUGGCGGACGGGUGAGGAAUACAUCGGAAUCUACUUUUUCGUGGGGGAUAACGUAGGGAACUUACGCUAAUACCGCAUACGACCUACGGGUGAAAGCAGGGGAUCUUCGGACCUUGCGCGAUUGAAUGAGCCGAUGUCGGAUUAGCUAGUUGGCGGGGUAAAGGCCCACCAAGGCGACGAUCCGUAGCUGGUCUGAGAGGAUGAUCAGCCACACUGGAACUGAGACACGGUCCAGACUCCUACGGGAGGCAGCAGUGGGGAAUAUUGGACAAUGGGCGCAAGCCUGAUCCAGCCAUACCGCGUGGGUGAAGAAGGCCUUCGGGUUGUAAAGCCCUUUUGUUGGGAAAGAAAAGCAGCAGGUUAAUACCCCGCUGUUCCGACGGUACCCAAAGAAUAAGCACCGGCUAACUUCGUG